rnacentral:rRNA from 2 species
UUGAGUCUCGUAGAGGGGGGUAGAAUUCCAGGUGUAGCGGUGAAAUGCGUAGAGAUCUGGAGGAAUACCGGUGGCGAAGGCGGCCCCCUGGACGAAGACUGACGCUCAGGUGCGAAAGCGUGGGGAGCAAACAGGAUUAGAUACCCUGGUAGUCCACGCCGUAAACGAUGUCGACUUGGAGGUUGUGCCCUUGAGGCGUGGCUUCCGGAGCUAACGCGUUAAGUCGACCGCCUGGGGAGUACGGCCGCAAGGUUAAAACUCAAAUGAAUUGACGGGGGCCCGCACAAGCGGUGGAGCAUGUGGUUUAAUUCGAUGCAACGCGAAGAACC